rnacentral:misc_RNA from 1 species
GUAUGGAUAGACCUUCAAAAUCUGUGACAAGGAGAAUUAGAAAUUAUGGUCUAUUCCAUUCGUCGAGAAUUGCAUUAAGCACAUUAAUGCUGGGAUGAGCGCGAUUCAGUUAAUCAAACUGUAAAUUUUCUUUUCAACCUAAACCACAAAAAUCAGUAAACAGCUUAAUUGGUUAGCCAGUUUUACAAAUUUUUCCUUUUUUUUUAUUAAUGAGCUAAAUUCAUAUAUAACAAUUAACUUAAACUCAAAUCUUGGCAAUGAUACCUUUGAUAAUGGGCCUCUUUUGCCACAAUUUUUUUUAUUAUUUUAAUAUUUAUUGCUAUCAUUACCAUACACACGAACACACUAUACAUUACCAUUAUAUCAGGUUAAAUUACAAAUAAGGAUGCUGCAAAAUUACACGUGUUAGAAAAAUAUUUAUCUAAUAAAUUAUAAACUACAACAAGAUGGUUCAGUUAACCAUUGGUUUUGUAAAAGGAAAGCAAAACUGAACAGAUCUAUUUAGUUCAAUAUUUUUGUGAUUAAUUUUUCCAUUUUGAUUUGGAUUUUUUUUAUACUUUUCAGGUUCUCUUAGCCUAUCAUUUAUAUUAAUACAGAUUGAUCAUGGAUAAAUUAAAUUAUCUAAAUUUAAUCAAUUCUGAGUAAAUCCAUUUCCGAAAAAUAUUAUUGACCAAUAUAGCAUAUAGUCAAUGGAUCAAUCGAAUUUGAUUGUUGAGACUCUCCAUUUUUCAAUGAUAAGAGUGAAUAAAAUUUCUACACAACUCAUACCACUAAUUUGACCACCUAAAAUUCAAUUACAGCAUUGUUUCACCUUUGGCAGAAGAUCUUUAGAAUUUCAAGGAAACUAUUCUACAUAAUUUUCUACCAAACAAACACUAUAAUAAUAAUAAAAGCAAAUCUAACUUUUAACAGGCAAAGUACUUUUUGGUAAAUCAUUCCUCAAAACUGACCACAGGAGCAUAAAUUUGCACCAUUUGCAAAGCGAUCUAACUUUUUUGGUUUAGAAAAAAAAAUUUGCAUUCGUAUGACCACACUCACUCAAAGCAAAGUGAAAUCACGCUUAGAACUUAAAAGCAUCAGUACAUCCACAUAUCAAACAACCAAAAAAAAAACGAACCUGCUUGUUGUAAAUAUUGAAAUA